ACGGAUUCGUUUGAAUCCGUAUACUUUUUGAUACGUUUAGGCCUUACGUCCACACUAACACGGAUUCGUUUGAAUCCGUAUACUUUUUGAUACGUUUAGGCCUUCCUUCCACACUAACAUGCGCUGGAUCCAGCAAAUCGAGAUAAUUUUGUAAACGCCGUCGAAAGUGAAUCAAAGUGAAUCCGUAUUACUUUGGUCCGUAGUGCCGGACGGCCGAAUCCGUAUCAAAAUGAAAACGAUGGCGUCAUAUCGCAGGCGCGCGCUGCUUUGAGCAUGCGCAUAUCAUAAUGACGUCACCCUGUGCCAGUCAGCGUUUUCAAACGUUUGAAUCCGUGUUAGUGUGGACGGCUGGAUCCAGGCGAACACGAUGCGAAAACGAUAGUGUGGACGCGAAUCAAGUGAUGCGUUUUCGGCGAAACGAAUCCGGGUACUUUUGAAUCCAGAAAACUGCUCCCAAGAAGCUUGCCGUUGCUCCCAAGAAGCUUGCCGUUAUUGCCUUGGAUAUAGCGUUAUAACGUUAAUUUUAACUUCGAAAUUAUCAAAGUCAAUCUACAGCUCCGCUCUUUCGAUAUUUACGGAGCCCUGCACCACGAAAAGGCGAAAGAAUUUACAGGAAUUUUAUAAUAACUUUAUUCACUAUUGUACUUUACAUAGAUUGAGUUUAUAAUUAAAGGGAAAAUAAGAAUAGUACAUUGAGUCUGGAAUCCGGAAUAACAAGUAGUUUUCGAGCCGGAUUCCAGUUAAAUAUUUUUUGUUGAUAGAACUGUGAGGAGAGGAGAAAUGAGUAAGGGAUUAGGAGAGUUCUAGAGUGAAAAAGUCGUGACCUAGUAUUGUUCAUCCAGUAAAUGACGCUUUAAAGCACUUUGAAAUGUGUACAGAUUAAGCUCUUUCAACUCAGUGGGGAGAUCAACCCAAAGAUCUGUUGCAAUAUAUUUUAAAGUUUGUUUACCGGAUUUUGUUCGUACUUUACUUUUGUAUAAAUUUUUCCUAGAGGCAUAUCUUGUAUUGUAACCAUGGAUUCCGCUUGCAUAAUUAAAAUAAUUAGAGAAGGAAUAAGGCAGAAGUCCCUUAUGCCAGAGGUGAAUGAAUUUCAGUGCUUGGAAUUUAAAGACAUGGUUUACUGUAAGAACAUCUAAUAGGUUGAGCAGGGGCAAUGCACUAUCUGUAUCAGUACCAAAAGUCUUUGCAAAGAAAAUAAGUCUUAUUGAGUGGU